AGAAUACCUUGCAGGCAUAUUUGGAGCCGAUUUUUAGACUUUUUCAAUUUUUGCUGGCACAAACAGACCUGGCACCACUUUAUUUUGUACAUUUGUAUUUCAUCAUGGCGUGGAUUUUAUCUUCAGGUGUAAAGGUACAGCAUCUAUGUGGUAAUCAUUACCAUACCUGUGGAAAAGUCCUCUCGUCAGAGGACUAUCGACAUUCGGCCAACACGGUUUCACCAGCUUGUGCAUCCGUUGAGAAGGAUGAAGGCAUGAUUUUGUGACGAUGGCUAGCGCUGUAAUAUGCCGAAGCACAUUGAAGGUUGCCUUGAACGCUAUUUCGUUGCAGAAGAGUGAACGAUUUAAUGCCAGUCAUGUAGGAAAUGACAGCCAAAAGUGCGAAAACGCGCACCUCAGCUGUUCGAGAAUACCCACUUCAACAACAAAAACGUCCAAUGAUCUAUCCCGGCAUAAGAUCUGCUUAGUAGAAGAACAUCGUCCGACCACCCCGGAUACUUGUUUCCAACCAACGGAUUGUUCCGCGCAACUAUUAUUUCAUUAUUGCUGUUUUCAAUGACAGUGCACCGGUGCAGGGGAGUGCACUGGUUUUUCACUUUCAGGCAGAAGUGUUAAUACAACAUACCCAGUUUUUGCAUUGCUACUCGAAAGUACAAAAAACAACCAGUGCACGGAACUACCCUGGUGCACAUCAAUCAAA